rnacentral:rRNA from 2 species
UUAUAAUUAAAAAAUUAAUUAAAGAGAAAUUAAAUGAAUUCAUUAAAUUUAGAUUAUUUGGCGGUAUUUUAAAUAGUUAGAGGAAUUUGUUAGUUAAAUGAUGAUCCACGAAUGGAGUGUCCUAAUAAAAUUUUUAUGUAUUGUUGUAUAAAAAUUAUUUUAAAAGAAUUAUAAUUGAGAAAUUUAUUAUAAUUUGAAUUCAAAUCAAAAUGUAGAAUUUUUAGGUUUAGAUGAAUUACAUUUUAAUUUAAUAUUAGAAUUAUUUUUUUAAUGAAAAUAAUAAUAUAGGAUUUAAAAGUAAAUUUAAAAAAAUAUUUAAAUUGAAAUAAUAAUUGAAAUAUG